rnacentral:antisense_RNA from 1 species
GCAGCACUGAGAAGUGAAGGAAUAUUUGGGAGGAUCAGAAGCUUGGUCCUGAUUUUGCCAUCAACAGGAACUUGAUGACUUCAAGGGAGUCCCCAAACCCUGGGUUUCUGUUUUCUCAACUCUAACAUGAGGGGCUAGAUGCAUCUGGUUUAGUUAGUCUCCAUGAUGGUUUAGUUCGUCUCCAUGAUCCUGUGAAUUUCAGAUGUUGAAAAUCUUUGGAAAAGCCCUGAAAGAUGAACAGUCUUCACCAACCUCCUCCCUCCAGAAUAUUCCUCCAGAAUAUAAAAUGCCUCAUCAACAUGAGACAACAGCAGGAAGCACCCAUUUGUAGUAAUCCUCUGUAUGGAGGAGGCUGUUACAUAACCACAAAGGCACAAAGCUGCAGUUUUGAGAACAUCUUCCCACGCCAGUUCUAAACAUUGACCUCAACUAUGGUUGCUAACACAAGAAUCGGCACUGGUGAGUUUUGAGCCAUCAUUCAUCCUUUCCUAACAUACGAUUCUUUUGGAAAAUGGUCUCAAAUAGUCAAGACCCCCUGCUGGGAGGAGCUAUCCUGCUCUUUGGAAGAAAUGGGCAUGCCAGAUGCCUG